rnacentral:lncRNA from 1 species
GCUUUAGUAGGAAGUAAAUUACCAAAAGUGUUGUUGUCCAGUAAGACUAUAUCUGAGGAAAAUAAAGUUAUCUUACCCAAAUUCAUUUCUCAUAAUGUCCACCUCUGCCUUCAUAAUUCUUAUUUUCUGAUAAAUCUCUUCUAUAUGGGUGCAUCCAGUAUUAAAAGAAAACCAUUCAGAAUCGACUUGCACAAAUGUGCAGUUACUUAAUAGAGACCAGCAGUACUGACCCAUCGGAUAGCUUGGAAGCAUACAAAUAUAACGAAAAUCCCCACCAAAUGGAAAAUGCCAACUGCUAUCACAUAGACCUCGGAGAAGGAAGACCUGGGGACUGAACUCUGGUCUCUGUUCUUCAUUCUGCAUUUCUUCCUGAGGGGCCUGGAGAGAAUCACACCCUUGGGCCAAACCAAUGUCUAACCUCCAUGUAUUGAUUUAUGAUUUUUCCUACAACUUCUGCUCUCCUGGAAUGUAUCCUUACCUUGAAAAACCCUUGCUUAUAAGCCAUCUGGGAGUUUGGGUCUUAAGCAUUAGCUGCCCGUCCUCCUUGCUUGGUUGGCACCAUGCAAUAAAUGCCGUUUUCUUUAACUGCAAAUCUUGAUGUCAGUGUCUGGCUUUCCUGCACUGGGCAAGAAGACCCCAGUUUGGUUUGGUGGCAGCUGUUUAUAUAAAACUUCCUGAAAUCCCCCCAUUGUGAACCUGGGAGUCAACAAAAACAACAAAGUGAAGCAGGUUAUAUAAUGGAGUUCCAUGGAAAAGUCAGGCGUGAGGGGAAACCGUCGUUUGAAGAAGGUGUCUGCUGAAGUCUCAAAUAGAAAAGCAGAGGGACACACUUGUUAAGGCAGCUCUG